rnacentral:rRNA from 1 species
GCGUAAUAGCUCACUGGUCGAGUCGGCCUGCGCGGAAGAUGUAACGGGGCUAAACCAUGCACCGAAGCUGCGGCAGCGACACUGUGUGUUGUUGGGUAGGGGAGCGUUCUGUAAGCCUGUGAAGGUGGCCUGUGAGGGUUGCUGGAGGUAUCAGAAGUGCGAAUGCUGACAUAAGUAACGAUAAAGCGGGUGAAAAGCCCGCUCGCCGGAAGACCAAGGGUUCCUGUCCAACGUUAAUCGGGGCAGGGUGAGUCGACCCCUAAGGCGAGGCCGAAAGGCGUAGUCGAUGGGAAACGGGUUAAUAUUCCCGUACUUGGUGUUACUGCGAAGGGGGGACGGAGAAGGCUAUGUUGGCCGGGCGACGGUUGUCCCGGUUUAAGCGUGUAGGCUGGUUUUCCAGGCAAAUCCGGAAAAUCAAGGCUGAGGCGUGACGACGAGGCACUACGGUGCUGAAGCAACAAAUGCCCUGCUUCCAGGAAAAGCCUCUAAGCAUCAGGUAACAUCAAAUCGU